UGGGGAAUAUUGGGCAAUGGCCGAAAGGCUGACCCAGCGACGCCGCGUGCGGGAGGAAGCCCUUCGGGGUGUAAACCGCUGUCAGGGGGGACGAAUGUUCCGGGGGGGAAUACUUCUCGGAAGUGACGGUACCUCCAAAGGAAGCACCGGCUAACUCUGUGCCAGCAGCCGCGGUAAUACAGAGGGUGCAAGCGUUGUUCGGAAUCACUGGGCGUAAAGCGCGCGCAGGCGGACCUGUGCGUCUGAAGUGAAAUUUCGCCGCUCAACGGCGAAGCUGCUUUGGAUACGGCAGGUCUGGGGACCGGUAGAGGCUGGUAGAAUUGCAGGUGUAGCGGUGGAAUGCGUAGAGAUCUGCAAGAAUACCCGUGGCGAAGGCGGCCAGCUGGGCCGGAUCCGACGCUGAGGCGCGAAAGCGUGGGGAGCAAACAGG
rnacentral:rRNA from 1 species